rnacentral:lncRNA from 1 species
GAGAAACUCAGGACACACUGCAAGAGCCUGGCACUUACUGAGGCUCAGAAAACAAUACCCCAAAGUCUGGCACUUUGGCAUGCUGGGAAGGGUCCUGUCCUGUACCCGGGAGGAAGAAAUGCUACACAGAGAAGCCAAGAUGAAUCUGAACAGACAGCCUUUGUCAGUUCCACAGAUUCCAUAAAAGUUAACUCCAGAGCAGAGAAUGAUGCCACAGUCGGGAUAACAUCCAAUAUUUGCAAUCAGAAGAAAUAUGAGAGUCUUGCUCCAUCACCCAGGCUGCAGUGCAGUGGCACGAUCUUGGCUCACUGCAAGCUCCACCUCCCGGGUUCACGCCAUUCUCCUGCCUCAGCCUCCCAAGUAGCUGGGACUACAGGCGCCCACCACCACGCCCAGCUAAAUUUUUUUGUAUUUUUAGUAGAGAUGGGGUUUCACUGUGUUAGCCAGGAUGGUCUCGAUUUCCUGACCUCGUGAUCUGCCUGCCUCGGCCUCCCAAAGUGCUGGGAUUACAGGCGUGAGCCACUGUGCCCGGCCGUAAUUAUUCUUUUCGUGUUAAGCAAUGGUAAAAGAACUGACUGAAAAUAAGAAUAUUAAAAAGUUUCUCUGCUAAAAACAGAAAAUUAUGUUUGUUACCAUUCCUACUAUAACCCCAGUGAUAUGGCUCCGAUGAGUGGAGGAACACCAGGGUUCUUGGUCUUCAUGCCAGUUUAGAUAAAACAACACAGACAUACGUGGAGUGGUUUUAAGGAGCAGACAGUUUAAUAGGCAAGAAGAAAAGAGAAGGCAGAAGGAAAAGGCUCCCCGAUACAAAGACAGAGGGAGGGGGCCUCCAAAGCCAAAAGAGGAAAUCCCAAGUGCAGUGGAUACCAGCCAGGUAUAUGUAGAGGCUGGAGGAGGUGGUGUCUGAUUUGCAUAGGGCUCAGGGGAUUGGUUUGACCAGGCCUGUAAUUCACGGGGCCUGAAAAAGCUGGCCCUCCCACCCUAGCAUUUAAUAUGCAAAUGCAGGGCGCCACGAUGUUCUACAAAUGGUGGGUAUAUGUGGGAGCGGCCAUGUUGCCAGGAACAUGUGGGGCAAGGGCAAGAAGGCCACGGGAAUCACCAUGUUUGGGUAGACGCAGUUUCUAAUGGCUUGCAUUUGCCUAUCAAAGGUUGCCAGCCGCUCUAAGAGCCAGGGCAUUCCAAUUCUGGAGCUGCUUUAAAAAUGAAAACUUCCCAAGGAUCCCUUUUCUUUUCUAUCUGCCUAAAAUAAUUUCUUAAUAACUCCUACAACACAAUGAUUUUCAGUGAAACAAAAGCUGCUGUUUUAUUUUUGUUAAAUUGUUUUUCUUAGCUAAAGAGAUAAAAGUGAGGAUGAGGGAUUCAAAAUGUGGUUUACUUUAUAGAGCUUGCAAAACUCACAGCAUUUAAAGCAGUUUUUAACAGGAGUAUGGGGAUAGGGCUUGAAUGAACUUGGAAAUGCCAUUCAAUUGCUAAAAUCAUAUGCAUCACAUUGUGUUCGUCUGCACAUACGUGCACUUUUCUGGUAAGAAGUUUCAAACUUACAACAAAUUUUCAAAAGAGGUCUAUACUUUUGAAAGUAUAAGAAAUCACUUAGUUUACUGACUUUCCUUAUUUCAGGCCACAUCCAAAAGUACAAAACAGCACAUUUACAUUUUGUAUUUCACAUUUUUUUCAAUACUUACCUUGGGAGCCAUAGGCCCUGCUAAAGUUUUGCUGAAAAAUCAUGGACAUGAUGCAGAUUAAUUAAGAGGAGAAAAGGCAUAUAGAUUUAUUUAACAUGUAUACACAGGAGCAUUCAAAAUGAAGACCCAGCUUCUCCAUGAGUUACAGAAACUUAUAUACCAUCUUGAGUUUGCAGAACGAAUGGGGGCUUGCAUCCUGGUAAGACAGGAUAUAGGAAGAAGGAGAAGAGAAAUUCUAUUGAGGGGCAAUAAAUGACUGUGAAGGAGAAUGAUUGGAUCAGGGAACAGAGAUUAACUUUGUAAAUAGUUUUCUUUGAAAUUUAAAUGAUCCUUGGAGACAAUCAUUGUUCUUAUUAAAAGGUCUGUUCAGGUAUUGGUCACAUCUUGGCCUUCUUUUCUGCAAUAGAUAAUGAGAUAACAGAGAUGGGAAGAAAACACAAUAGUUCUCAUUGGUAGGUCUGGAUCCUAAGCAGAUAAAGGAACUUCAGUUUAUUUGGGAGAGACAGUGGUGGUGAGAGGCCAAAGAGAUCUUCAGGCUUCUUCAGCUCAGCAUGUCAAAAUGCCAUAUUUUGGUAUAUGAAUUUCUGAGCCCCAACAUUCUCCCAUCUGAAACUUCCCUAGGAGUUUCACAAACUAAAAGCUGAGUUAGUGGCUGUGGAAGAGAAAAGUUAAGCUAAAAUAUGAAUGGCAAAUAAUUCUAUUUAACCAAUCUGUGAAUAGGUCAAUUAAACACCUCUUUCAUUUUAGGAGAUAGCAUUGCAGAUGGGCUUUCAAACAGAAGAAAAACAGGUUAAUUUUGGAAACAGUCUAUAAACCAGUUUCCUUACAGUCUGCAGGGCAGUCAGUUGAGGUGUCCAGAUGUUAGACUCAAAGCCCAGUUAAAGAGGAAGCCAGCAAUGGCAAUCUGACAAGAUUUUUUUUGCCUGUUUCAAAAAGUUUAAGCUUUAGCUUAUAGGGCCUCAGGAAAAAGGUAGUAGCAAUUCCAUUGAGUCCAAGUAAGAAAAAUCCUUUUGAAUUUUUUAUUACCAGAUUUUAGUGAGGAUAAACAGCUGAUAUUUCUGGCUUUUAAACAUUUUUUUUUUUAACCAAUGACAUCCUCCCAAGUACCAUAAUCGAGGUUAUAACUUAAGCAUAAGGUGUCUUCAAAGAGGUGGCAAACACUUUUUACAAGAUAUAAAAUUACCCCAAAGAUAGCUCAAAGAAAGGAAAAUUUUGGUAGCCAUAAAUGGAGUGUGACUCACAUUUCUGUUUGGCCAGUCUCUGGAGUCUCAGCUGCUCAGCUCAUUUUCUACAUACAGAAGCCAAAAUGCCUCAUAUGCCCCCACAGAUGAAAGACAGGAAAUCAAAAUCUGUCCAUGGAAGGGAAAAUAAUCAAUAAAUUUUGGGAAGGUAACACAAACGUCAAUCCAGAAAGCACUAAGUCCCUUGCCAGAAGUUUAAUCCAGGCUGCUGUGGUAAAAGGGCAGACCUUGGCUACUAGGUUACAACAUGAGGUGGUCUUUAUUGUUCUUCCCAGAAGAAAUCCAGAGCAGACAGUUUCAAUUUGCAAAGGAUUUUAACUUUGUUUUAGGUCAGAUUUUUUUUUCUCUUUUAAUUUAGUCAGAGAAUUCUCAAGGCUAACUGUGACACCAUUAUGUGUCCUUUUAAAAUGUAUUUUCCCAUUAAUUCUUUCCAAUUAAAAAAAAUCUCUAAAAUCUUUUAAAAUUUAUCUUUUGGCCACUGACAAUUAGAAUUUUCAAUGACAUACUUAAUUCCAAUAGUGACUUUAUCCAAAAGCCUCUUCAUGUAAAGCCCAGGUGGUAAUUUUCCAGGUUUUUACCAUGUAAGCAACAGUUGUUCCCGGAGAGGGUGUAGAGGAGGCGAUCCCCAUGAUCUCCACAAAUUCAUUCUCGGAAAUAGACUCAACAUAGCAAAGAUGACAAAAACCCCAUAGGGUUGGGACUUUUUAAGACAAAACUCACCUAAAAGCUUCAUACAUUCAGAAUGAAGAGUGUGCUGCUUAAAAUAUUACAUGCCUCGGUUUGCAAUCUUUCAGACUGGCUGCCUAAUGUGAACCUGAAAAAUCACACCCUUUGGAUGAUGGAGACUAAGAGAGGACCCCCACUUAGUCAGUCAUGCUCUCAAGGACAUAAGACAGGAUAAAAGGAAAACCUCAUCUGUAUUACAGGGACCCAUAGCAAAGUUUGUUUUAAUAGACACCCAUCUAGCCAGAACCACCAAACCAGCCAAUCUUCAGGGCUGGCUGAAACAAUGGGCUUAUAGGGGUUCUAGGCCUAUGUUCUACACUAUGGUACCCAUCUUCACGACAGAACAACACAGAAAGACAAAGACAAAGGAAAAUGGCAACAACAACAACAACAACAAAUCACCUAUUUCUGAGAGGAAAGGGGGGGUCGAAGAAUGUGAAUAUUCAUACCUCACAGUACUGAAAGUACACUGGAGUCACUAUAACCCAAGACUCAUCACACAAAUCCUUUUUUCUCAUUAAUAAAAUCAUUGCAGAUGAGACAAACAAUGAUUUUUUCCCAUCCACUCAACUGGAAUGCAAAGAGAGAGAGAGGUCAGGAGACUGGCUGGUAAGAAAUUCUUAUCCCUUUGCUGGCAGGUCAGGUUCCUGGGUUCUCUUUACUGCAGCUUAUAGAAGAGAAGAGCAGCUUUGAUUACCCUGCUCACUGCACUAUACUGUGGUGGCCAUAGGCUCUUGGUCCCUUGAAGUUUCACUGAAAAAAAAAUCACUGACAUGAAGCAGAUAAAUUAAUAGGGGAAAAGGCAUGUAAAUCUAUUUAGCAUGUAUACACAGGAGCCUUCAGAAUGAAGACCCAACUUCUUCAUGAGUUACAGAAACUUGAGGUUACAAAAGAAUGGGGGCUCGCAUCCUGGUAAAACAGGUUAUGGGAACGGUGGAGGGGGAAGAGGAAUUUUACUGAUGGGCAAUAAAUGAUUGCAAGGGAGAAUGACUGGAUUGGGGAACAGAGAUUAACUGAUCUGUAGAGACAGUAAUUAUCCUCAUAAAAAGGUCUGUGCAGGUAUGGUCACAGCUUCUUUUCUGCAGUAGAUAAUGAGAUAAUGGGGAGGGAAAGAAAAAGACAAAUUAUUCUCCUUGGUGGGUCUGGAUUUUAGGCAGAUAAAGGAACUUCAGCUUCUUUGGGUGAGAUCAUGUGGAGAUUAGGUCAGAGAGACCUUGAAGCUUCUUCAGCUUAGCAUGUCAAAACAUCAUAUUUUGGGGUAACAAUUUCUGAGCCCAACAUUAUUAUGUCAACCCCUCCAGGAAACUGCAAUUGAGCAGAAUAGAUAGUAAUGAUACUAAGGUUAUAAGGGUGUUAAAAGAUAACAUUUUUUAAGGGUAAAAGCAUUCUUCUCAAAAAAUAUAAAACACAUGAAGAUUCUAUUAAAUUCAUUAAUUAAUAAUGGAAUCAAAUGUUAGAACCAGUUCAGAGUAGUUCUUUUUAAUGACACAAAUGUAGGGAAUAAGGAAUGCUAAAACAAAAUUUUAAAUAAAGACAGAAGUGAUCUAUCUACAGGACAAUAACCAACUGCAUUCCACAAGGACCCAAUUUGUUUGUAUUUCAACUGAAAAGAAUCAUUCACAUUAUUAUGAGUUUUAAAUCCUUCAAAAACAAUGACAAGCACAGAGAUUGCAGAUGGGUACACUAUAAAGGCUGCCAGCGAUCUCCCCCUCCCUCAUUUCGAAUCUGUCACAAUUUUUCUGACAUGCAUUUGCAGAGAAAUUGUGAUGAAGUUUUUUUCUGUCACACAAAAGGCAAGCAUCCAAUUUGACUGAGGGAGUCAAAGGUAGUCCCCACAGAAGUGGUAUUUAAAUGAAUGUUGAAUGAAUGUGCAUUAAGUAAAGAAUAUCUAUGGGGACUUAACAUUUGAAAGGUUCUGGGGCAUCUGAAAAAACAGAGCAAAGCUGUUGGAUGACAAUGGAAUGCUAAUUUAGAGUCGUGUUUGGAAGAACUGAGGUCCCAGUGGUGGAAUUUGAGUUUAUGAUUUCCCAAAGUACGCCUCCUAGAGGAGGAAGUAUACAUCAGUGCUUGAUGGCUUUGAGAGAGUCUUGAGAGUGUAGCCUGCAGCUUCUCAAUGAAAAAUGUCAAAUUUAUCUGCAAUCAUGUUUUAUCUUAAAAUUUCGCUUGGUUUUUAAUAUAACAAUCUAUGAGAUUACAACUUAUUGAGUAAAAUUUAUUGUGCUUAGUACAUGAGAGGAAAGAAGUAUAUAUUGGUUUUGAAUUUUGGCUGAACUGACAUUCCACAAAGUCAUCCCAGGCUCUUAGCCAGACUCUCUGGGUACACUCACUUUGUCUCCGGAGAUAUGCAAGCUCCUCAAAUUAAGGUGCAAAACAUGCAUUGACUACAGGUUACUAAAAGCUUUUAUUGGUCAGUGAAGUCACACGGUUAGUUUUAUUAUGUUUGGGGAAAAUUACUGCCAAUUCCAUGAAAGAAGAUUUGACCCAGCACCAGUGGGAAGCAGUGAUCAGAAAAUGGGCUGCCGAAACAGGCUUGGACUGAGGGUGUGAAUGGGAAGAAAAACGCUAUCUUACAGAGGUAAUUAAAAUGUUCUGACCAAUUAUCUACAGGCGAGAAAAGAGAAGGGUCAGGUAUAACAUUUCUGGUUGUAUUCCUGCAGACAGUUUGCUGGUAGAACUGGAGUUAGCAACUAUGCCACUGAUAGAAACAGGAGACAGCCAAGGGUCCCCGGAGAAACCCUGCCUUCAAGCCUAAAACGCCCUGCAGGCUGAAAAACCAGCUGCUGGUCCUGGAUGAAACCCACAACCCAGAGGGAGAACUGCCCCUGUUUGCCCGCCCUUUCCCAGCCGAUUCUUUCAGAAUAAGGCCCACAUGCGCACCGGGGAAACGGGGUCGAGCCACAGAAAGUUGCGCCUUGUUCAAUGGGGAGGAGUCUGGUCUCUUCAGUUUUCCUGUGCGUGGCCUGGAAUCAAUCUGUGAGGUGGGGGCCUAUUGGCAGGAUCCCCUCUCGCUUUCUUGAGAGUUUUUUUCUUUUUUUCCUUUUUGCCCAGUAAAUUCUGUUCCCCACACCCUUCAAUGUGUCCACGUGCCUAAAUUUUCCAGUUCUUGAUAUAAGAACCUGGAUUUAGCUGAACUAAGGAGCAAAAAUUCUCCUUAGAAUUUUUGGAAGGUUGGUGUAAAGUUAACAGUUGCAGCCACCUGACGGUUUCUAAAUCCCAGGUUUCUUGUAUUACCCAUUGCUCUUUUUCUCUAGCCUUUUAAAGCAGACCUGUAAGAGACCAGGCCAGCUUUAGCAUUUCUUUUGUCUUUUAAUCUGUAAGUUUUGUGCUUGAGCAGGAAGCAGACAGGUUACCUUUUUAAGACACUAAAGGAGAUGAGAUGAAAUUAUUUGUAUGAUCAAAAUGCAUAUUUAGAAUGUGCAUCUGUAAGUUUUCCAUGAUUAAGUUCUUGGGAAAAAAUUUUCAUUUUCCUACUUGGGAUUAAAGAAAAUUCAUCAUAAUAGCGUAGUUAGAAGAGUGAAUGUGAGGAUGCAAAGCCAAGCAAUAUUUAAAUUUACCAAUCUAAGAAGAAAUCUUUAAUCUGGCAUUAUGGCCAAUGAAUCUCAUGUAAAAUUUUCUUCCAGAUGCCCACACAGCUUAACUUUUAGAAACACAACACAGGAUAUUUCAGAGAUAAGCUGUGAUGAGUUCAGGACACGCUACCCCCAAAAUAUGACACAGUGGCAUAUGUAAUAUUUUAGGUGGAAGGAAUUUGAGAAAUAUCAUGAGUGGGAAGUGUCUUCUGACCUUCCCAUGAAGCAGAUCAUAACAACCUCAUGUGAAAGGUGCCCUCCCUAUACCCAGAUGAAAGGAGCAGCCUUCUCUCUGAAGACACAGGGACACAGACAAGAACUGAAUGAAGGGAUUUUGCUCAGUUUUCCCCAGUUUACUCAUACCCUUUAUGCUAUCACAUUUUCCCAUAACUUUCCACUUUUCAUUAAACCUAGAAUAAAAACUCUCAGGUUAAACUGUUUCUUUGCGUCUUCAUUUCCUUAUGAAAACUCCCAUGUCACAUAAAACUUAAAUAAAUGUGCAUGCUUUUCUCUUGUUAAUCUCUUUUGUUACAGGAGUACCAGCCAAUGCACGUUAAGAUGAGUAGAAGGAAAAGAUGUUUUUCCUCCUCUAUAGCUACAUAGUCACAAACAAGGCUGUACCUGUAUAAGGUUUCUUUGGAUAGCAGUGAGUAAAACCUACGCGGAGAGGUUCUAUGCCGAAGGAAUUUUGCUUACUGGAGGACCAGAAACACACGCGCGCGCGCGCGCACACACACACACACACACACACGGGCAGGGGACAAGGGCGUGGCAAAGGGCUCAGAGUGAUUAGGGAACAUGAGCCUUAUGGAAACCAAAGGAUCCUGGAAAGCAGUAAUAGUCAUUGCUGACAUUCAUUAAUAGCUUAUUAUGAGUGUGUGUGUGCAACACACACACACACACAGAGAAAGAGAGAGAGAUUGAUUCUGCUUUUUCUGGAACUAGAGCUAGAAAUGUGGUUUAGGAGGGUUAGGAUACAAAUCCUAUUCCUUUGGGAUUGCAUCCUUCAAAGGGUGUAUGAGGAGAAUUAUCAUUUCUUUAAUAGUGCUUGGCCCUAAACUUUCCCACAAGUCUGGUCAUGGAAAGCUUUCCCAAGGAGUUCUGCUUUGAGUAUUUAUAUCCGUCUGACUUCUAGGAAAAAGCCAAGAAAUAGACAGAGAGACAAAGAAUACCCUAAAGACACUUAGAGAUGUACCAGAUUGUAAUGUUGCAAAUUUCUUAGGACAAUAUCAUAUAUCAGAAGAGAGUGGGUUUACUUGGAUAGGAGUCAGAAAUUUGGGGAAAUAAUGGCUGUGUUAGCAAAUGCGCCUUCACCCUACCAAGAAGGCUUGUUUUUCUUAGCACACAGUGGAUUUAAAGUUACAGCCUGAGUGGAUAUUCCCAGCUCAGUUGAUUUCUCAUGAGCCACAUAUAUUCACAUGCCCCAGACAAGAUUAUUUCCAGUUUUCAGCACUCGUAGUUCUGGGAAGGGAGAGCUAAAUUAUGUGAGAGCACUCUCAGUGGGGGGACACAUAGAGAGAGUUGUUCUAGCAGCAAUAAAACUAGGGCAAUAAGGGGAAUUGAAGGUUAGGCAAGUCUGAGGCCUCAGACAUGGUGUUCAAUCAAUUAUAACAGAAGGACCUGCAUUGAUUCCAGCUGAAAUCUUAAGUAGGUAGCAGCUAGAUUAGCCUCAACAGAGAAAACAAUUAUUUUGGGGGCUACCUGUGGAGAUGAACUCCCUAAAAAGCUCUAAUUUUUAGAAAAUAUUUCUUAUCGUUUCAACAAACAUUAUGAAGUAUAUUCUGGACACUGGGAAUAGAAAAGUGAGU